rnacentral:rRNA from 1 species
GAUGAACGCUGGCGGCGUGCCUAAUACAUGCAAGUCGAGCGAACGGACGAGAAGCUUGCUUCUCUGAUGUUAGCGGCGGACGGGUGAGUAACACGUGGAUAACCUACCUAUAAGACUGGGAUAACUUCGGGAAACCGGAGCUAAUACCGGAUAAURUUUUGAACCGCAUGGUUCAAAAGUGAAAGACGGUCUUGCUGUCACUUAUAGAUGGAUCCGCGCUGCAUUAGCUAGUUGGUAAGGUAACGGCUUACCAAGGCAACGAUGCAUAGCCGACCUGAGAGGGUGAUCGGCCACACUGGAACUGAGACACGGUCCAGACUCCUACGGGAGGCAGCAGUAGGGAAUCUUCCGCAAUGGGCGAAAGCCUGACGGAGCAACGCCGCGUGAGUGAUGAAGGUCUUCGGAUCGUAAAACUCUGUUAUUAGGGAAGAACAUAUGUGUAAGUAACUGUGCACAUCUUGACGGUACCUAAUCAGAAAGCCACGGCUAACUACGUGCCAGCAGCCGCGGUAAUACGUAGGUGGCAAGCGUUAUCCGGAAUUAUUGGGCGUAAAGCGCGCGUAGGCGGUUUUUUAAGUCUGAUGUGAAAGCCCACGGCUCAACCGUGGAGGGUCAUUGGAAACUGGAAAACUUGAGUGCAGAAGAGGAAAGUGGAAUUCCAUGUGUAGCGGUGAAAUGCGCAGAGAUAUGGAGGAACACCAGUGGCGAAGGCGACUUUCUGGUCUGUAACUGACGCUGAUGUGCGAAAGCGUGGGGAUCAAACAGGAUUAGAUACCCUGGUAGUCCACGCCGUAAACGAUGAGUGCUAAGUGUUAGGGGGUUUCCGCCCCUUAGUGCUGCAGCUAACGCAUUAAGCACUCCGCCUGGGGAGUACGACCGCAAGGUUGAAACUCAAAGGAAUUGACGGGGACCCGCACAAGCGGUGGAGCAUGUGGUUUAAUUCGAAGCAACGCGAAGAACCUUACCAAAUCUUGACAUCCUUUGACAACUCUAGAGAUAGAGCCUUCCCCUUCGGGGGACAAAGUGACAGGUGGUGCAUGGUUGUCGUCAGCUCGUGUCGUGAGAUGUUGGGUUAAGUCCCGCAACGAGCGCAACCCUUAAGCUUAGUUGCCAUCAUUAAGUUGGGCACUCUAAGUUGACUGCCGGUGACAAACCGGAGGAAGGUGGGGAUGACGUCAAAUCAUCAUGCCCCUUAUGAUUUGGGCUACACACGUGCUACAAUGGACAAUACAAAGGGCAGCGAAACCGCGAGGUCAAGCAAAUCCCAUAAAGUUGUUCUCAGUUCGGAUUGUAGUCUGCAACUCGACUACAUGAAGCUGGAAUCGCUAGUAAUCGUAGAUCAGCAUGCUACGGUGAAUACGUUCCCGGGUCUUGUACACACCGCCCGUCACACCACGAGAGUUUGUAACACCCGAAGCCGGUGGAGUAACCUUUUAGGAGCUAGCCGUCGAAGGUGGGACAAAUGAUUGGGGUGAAGUCGUAACAAGGUAGCCGUAUCGGAAGGUGCGGCUGGAUCACCUCCUUUCU